UGAGGCAGGAGAAUUGCUUGAACCCAGGAGGUGGAGGUUGCAGUGAGCUGAGAUCGUGCCACUGCACUCCAGCCUGGGUGACACGGCGAGACUCC
rnacentral:pre_miRNA from 1 species